rnacentral:tRNA from 1 species
GAGGGUGUAGCUCAGUGGUAGAGCGCGUGCUUAGCAUGCACGAGGUCCUGGGUUCAAUCCCCGGUCUCUCC